GUAAGGAAUAUUGGGCAAUGGAGGCAACUCUGACCCAGCCAUGCCGCGUGAAGGAUUGACGGCCCUCUGGGUUGUAAACUUCUUUUGUACGGGAAUAACCCUCCGAACGUGUUCGGAGCUGAAGGUACCGUAAGAAUAAGGAUCGGCUAACUCCGUGCCAGCAGCCGCGGUAAUACGGAGGAUCCAAGCGUUAUCCGGAUUUACUGGGUUUAAAGGGUGCGUAGGCGGAUUGAUAAGUCAGUGGUGAAAUCCUGCAGCUUAACUGCAGAACUGCCAUUGAUACUGCCAGUCUGGAGUAUGGUUGAGGUAGCUGGAAUGUGUCAUGUAGCGGUGAAAUGCUUAGAGAUGACACAGAACACCGACGGCGAAGGCAGGUUACCAACCCAUUACUGACGCUGAGGCACGAAAGCGUGGGGAUCAAACAGGAUUAGAUACCCGAGUAGUCC
rnacentral:rRNA from 1 species